UCCGGUGAUGAUGGCUAUGUGGCUCCACCUGUUCCCAUUCCGAACACAGUAGUUAAGCACAUAAACGCCGAAAGUACUUGGCUGGAGACGGCCUGGGAGGAUAGGAAAUCGCCGGUU
rnacentral:rRNA from 1 species